rnacentral:rRNA from 1 species
UGGAGACUGCCGGUGUCAACCGGAGGAAGGUGGGGAGUGACGUCAAGUCCUCAUGGCCCUUAUGACCAGGGCUACACACGUGCUACAAUGGCCGGUACAAGAGUUGCGAUACCGCGAGGUGGAGCUAAUCUCAUAAAGCCGGUCUCAGUUCGGAUUGGAGUCUGCAACUCGACUCCAUGAAGUUGGAAUCGCUAGUAAUCGCGGAUCAGCACGCCGCGGUGAAUACGGUUCCCGGGCCUU